rnacentral:rRNA from 1 species
UACGUAGGGGGCGAGCGUUGUCCGAAGUUAUUGGGCGUAAAGCGCGCGCAGGCGGCCUUGUAAGUCUGUUGUUUAAACCCGGGGCUCAACCCCGGGUCGCAAAUGGAAACUGCAAAGCUUGAGUACAGAAGAGGAAGGUGGAAUUCCACGUGUAGCGGUGAAAUGCGUAGAGAUCGGGAGGAAGGCCGGUGGCGAAGGCGGCGCUCUGGAACGUUACUGACGCUGAGACACGAAAGCGUGGGGAGCAAACAGGG